UGCAGAGGUGCAUGCCAGAGGUGGUCCCAGCUACUCGGGAGCCUGAGGUGGGAGGAUCGCUGAAGCCCAGGAAGCUGAGGCUGAGGUGCAUACCACCACACUCCAGCCUGGGCGACAGCAAGACCCUGUCUAACACACACACACACACCCAACACACACACACGGACACCCUAACACACACAUACACACACCCUAACACACACCCUGUGUAAAACAACACUCUCAACCCUGUCUAAAAAACACACACUCCCUAAAACACACACACCCAUCUCACACACAUGCACUCACCCUAACACACACACCCUAACACACAUACACACCGUCUAAAACACACACACCCCCGUCUCACACACAUGCACUCAAACACACAUACACACCCUAACACACAUACACAUCGUCUAAAAUACACACCCCCGUCUCACACACAUGCACUCAAACACACACACCCUAACACACAUACACACCGUCUAAAACACACACACACCCCCAUCUCACACACGUGCACUCACUCUAACAAACACACACAUCCUAACACACAUACACACCGUCUGAAACACACACACACCCUAACACACAUACACACCGUCUGAAACACACACACCCCCAUCUCACACAUGCACUCACCCAACACACACUGUCUAAAACACACACACCCUGUCUAAAACACACAUACAUACCUUAACACACACAUAUCCUGUCUAAAACACACACCCAUACUUUAAUACACAGACACCCACACCCUAACACACAUACCACACCCUAAAACACAAACACACCCUAACACACACGCAUACAGACCAUACACACCCGUCUAAAACACACAUACACACAUCUUAACACACAUCCUGUCUAGAACACACACCCAUACUUUUAACACAUAGUCUAGGACACACACACCCUGUUUAAAACACACAUACAUACCUUAACACACACACUCUGUCUAAAACACACACCCAUAUCUUAAUACAGUCUAAAACACACACACUGUCUAAAACACACACCCUAACACACACAUACCCUAACACACACGCUCUAAAACACACCCUGACACACACACCCUGUCUAAACACACACCCUAACACAUACACCGUCUCACACACACACACCCUGUCUAAAACACACACACACCACCUAACACACACACCCUGUCUCACACACACCCUAUCUAAAACACACACACCCUAACACACACACCCUGUCUCUCACACACACACCCUGUCUAAAACACACACACACCCUAACACAUACACAUUGUGUCUAAAACACACACACGCACCCUAACACACACACCCUGUCUAAAACACACACCCCAUCACACGCACACACCCUAACACACAUACACCCUGAUUCACACACAUACAACCUGUCUAAAACACACACCCUAACACACACUCUAACACACACAUACACACAGACACUUUGUGGUAUUCCUGAGACAUUCAACCACUGCAG
rnacentral:lncRNA from 10 species